UUUUUUGUUCCUUAUGAGGCCCCACAAGUUCAAAUUCUUUGUCACAAUGCAAUCGGUGGUUUUUAUGUCAUUGUGGAUGGAAGGGUUGUUGAAAGAUACUCUAGUUAAGUUAGUUGUUCGUUUUUAAAUUUAUACUCUUGCGUUACAAAAAUAAAGUUUAUGUCUUGACACCAACAAUUUUCUUAUAAAAUAUAAUAAAAAAUCUAAUCAAAACCACAUUAAAAUAUUAUUCAAAAUGAUAGCACAUCUAAAAUUCUAAAAUAACAAAAUAAAACGGACAUUGGAAAAAAAAAGUUUACAAAAACACAAAAACUAAGUAGAAGAAGUAACAUUUAAGCAUAUAUCCAUUGAAGAAGACUACACACUUAAAAGCUCCCUAGAAACCUGCUCCAUGGUAGGGCGAGAUUGUGGACUAUCAACCAAACAAGAAAUUGUUGUCUUUGCAAUGCAUACUAACUCCUUAGCUUGUCGAUGAUUCACCGGACGAGAGAGACGUUGAUCCAACUUAUUCAUCAAUGGCAUACU
rnacentral:lncRNA from 1 species